GGGAGUAAGGAGCAGUAUUUAACAAAAUUUGACAGCGUGGACACUAGAGAAAUGUUUAGCCGCCGCCGCAACUCCGGCAGCCUCAUCGCUACUGUCGCGCCCACCGGAGGCCGCUGUCGUAGUAGGGGAGCAAAACCACGCGAGCCACGACGCCGCGGCCGCGAUGAAACCAGCUCCGAACUCCAUCUCCUUCUAUCUUCAACGCUACGUGUGUGAAUCAAAUUAUAUUAAAGGAACUUGGAUUUGAUCAGUGUCGCCAACCUAUCGUCGUCUAUCUGUGUUCUGCGCUUUCUUCUUCUGAC
rnacentral:lncRNA from 1 species